CCACCUAUUGAGCCUCCUAUUGAACCAACUUUGAAUGAUGCUGAACCAACUCACAAUUCUUCUGAACCAGCUGUAAAUGCUGCUGAUGGAGAUGAACCACCAGACCAUAAUGUUAAUGAAGAUGGAGUGCAAUCAGAUGUUGAGAGUAGUGAAUCAGAAGAAGAUGUUCUUCCAGAAGAAGAUGAUUCAUAUGUUGAUGAUCAAUUGAGAUCUAUAAGGGCUGAAAUGAGGAGCAAGAGGCAGGGUAAGCAGAGGAAAAAACCAAUUGCAACAGAUGUGAUACCACUAGGAGAAGUAGAUAUUGACAGAGGAUUUUAGGAUAUUGGAAGAAACAAGACUUCAAGAUAUGUGGGUAAAUUAAGUGGUGAUGAGCAGUUUAUUGAUAGUUUAGAGGCUGAUAGUGAAGAUAGCACAGAAGAGUUAGAUCCUGAAGCUAUUCCUCGUGUUGAUAUACCAGCAAGAAGGAGGAGUACAAAAGUCAGGUAUGAUCCUGAUUGUGAAGUUGCUAUAUUUGAACUUGGGAUGAUUUUUGAGAAUGCUAUAGAGUUUCGGAAAGCAUUAGCAAAUUAUGCAAUUGAGUACAAGGUGCAGAUUAAAUUGAGACCAAAUGAACCACAUAGGGUGAGGGCUAAGUGUAAAUCAAAGAGAUGCAAAUGGGUGUGUUAUGCUUGUAUUAAUAGAGAUUCAGGUGAUUUUAAAGUAAAGAACUACUACCCAGUACACAAAUGUGAUACUUCAAACAAGAAUAAGUUGUGCACUUCAAAGUUUGUUGCAAAGAAAUUCAAAGAUGAAAUAACUAAGCAGCCCCACAUAAGGAUAUGAGAAAUACAGGAGUUGUGUAGGGACAAUCUAGGAUUGUAUGUUAGAAAGACAAUUUGUUAUAGGGCUAAACUGUGUGUUCUCAGAGAGUCCAUGGGUGAUUGGAAUAUGGAGUUUGCAAGGUUAUGUGAUUAUGCUGAUAUGAUAAAACAGAUCAAUCCUGGUAGCUCAUGUUGGGUAAGGAUGGACAGUGAAACUGAGCCAGGAAAAAAUCUCUUUAUUUACUUUUAUGUGUGCUUUGAUGCAUUGAAGAAAGGUUGGUUAGAAAGAUGUAGGAGAAUCAUAGGUUUUGAUGGUUGUUUCUUAAAGGGUGCUUGUAAAGGUGAGCUUCUAGUUGCUGUUAGCAAGAAUGGAAAUCAACCAAUGUUUCCUAUAGCAUGAGAAGUUGUGAACCAGGAGACAAAACAUAGUUGGAGUUUUUUCAUCAACUACUUGAAAGAUGAUUUGCAAUUGGGAACUGGAGAAGGAUUGACUGUGAUGGCAAAUAUGCAAAAGGGAUUUGCUGCAGCUAUGAAUGAAGUUUUGCCUAAUGCUGAAUUUAGGAUGUAUGCCAGACAUAUAUGGUCUAAUUGGCAUAAGAAAUGGAAAGGAGAGGAAAGGAGAAAACCGUUUUGGAGGUGCUCUAAAGAGAUGAAGGGGUGCAAGUAAAGAAAAUGCUGAAAAAGGAGCACAAAAAGGUCAAAAAAUGUUGGAUUUGGCAUCUACACAGCUGCAAGUGGAACUCAAAUAUUAAAACCCAGAACAUCAAGCCAACGAGUUAUGGUAAGUGGUUCAACUUAUAAGAGUGCAGCUCCAACAAGAAUUGACCUUGGUUUUAAGGCUAGAGGCUUGAGGUGGAAGGGUCAAGAUGCUAUCACAACUUCCCAGUUGCAGCAGAUGAAGGCAAACUUCAGCAAGAAGUAGUAUCUUAGGAACUUAUUUUGUCUAUAUGUUAUGUAGCAGCAACCUAUUAUAUUUUGGGAUCUAGUUUUUGAAGGAACUAAACUUUAAGUUGUAUUCAGUCGUGUAAUCUUACUGUUUUGUUUUGGAUAUAUGUUAUG